AUUGAACGCUGGCGGAAUGCUUUACACAUGCAAGUCGAACGGCAGCACGGACUUCGGUCUGGUGGCGAGUGGCGAACGGGUGAGUAACAUAUCGGAACGUAUCCAAUAAUGGGGGAUAACGAGUCGAAAGAUUCGCUAAUACCGCAUACGCCCUACGGGGGAAAGCUGGGGACCUUCGGGCCUGGCGUUAAUGGAGCGGCCGAUAUCUGAUUAGCUAGUUGGUGAGGUAAAGGCUCACCAAGGCGACGAUCAGUAGCUGGUCUGAGAGGACGACCAGCCACACUGGAACUGAGACACGGUCCAGACUCCUACGGGAGGCAGCAGUGGGGAAUUUUGGACAAUGGGCGCAAGCCUGAUCCAGCCAUUCCGCGUGAGUGAAGAAGGCCUUCGGGUUGUAAAGCUCUUUCGCAAGGGAAGAAAACUUAGCCACUAACAUUGGUUGAGGUUGACGGUACCUUGAUAAGAAGCACCGGCUAACUACGUGCCAGCCGCCGCGGUAA
rnacentral:rRNA from 1 species